rnacentral:rRNA from 1 species
UACGUAGGGUGCGAGCGUUAAUCGGAAUUACUGGGCGUAAAGCGUGCGCAGGCGGUUUUGUAAGCCAGAUGUGAAAUCCCCGGGCUUAACCUGGGAAUGGCAUUUGUGACUGCAUCGCUGGAGUGCGGCAGAGGGGGAUGGAAUUCCGCGUGUAGCAGUGAGAUGCGUAGAUAUGCGGAGGAACACCGAUGGCGAAGGCAAUCCCCUGGGCCUGCACUGACGCUCAUGCACGAAAGCGUGGGGAGCAAACAGG